rnacentral:rRNA from 1 species
GACGAACGCUGGCGGCGUGCUUAACACAUGCAAGUCGAACGGAGUGGCGAACGGGUGAGUAACACGUGUGUGAUCUGCCUUGCACUUCGGGAUAAGCUUGGGAAACUGGGUCUAAUACCGGAUAGUGCAAGAUGAGCUCGCGGCUUAUGAGCUUGUUGGUGGGGUAAUGGCCUACCAAGGCGUCGAAGGGUAGCCGGCCUGAGUGGGUGUACGUCCACAUUGGGACUGCGAGACGGACCAGACUCCUACGUGGGGCAGCAGUGGGGAAUAUUGCGCAAUGGGCGGGAGCCUGAUGCAGCGACGCCGGGUGGGGGAUGAAGGCCUUCGGGUUGUAAACUCCUUUCGACAGGGACGCGGUACCUGUAUAAGAAGCACCGGCUAACUACGUGCCAGCAGCCGCGGUAAUUC